rnacentral:lncRNA from 1 species
CCCGACCCGCCCGGGCCCUCACACUAAACAUGAAGUGGGCUCAAGCUUGGUCUUGAAAAAGCCCAGCCCAAACCCAAUGUUUGUCAUCCCUAAUAUUGAGUACUCCCAACGAGUGACUCUACAACAUUUCAUGAUUGCCACCCAUGGCUACGGUACCCUCCUGAGACGCAGUUGUCUCUGACAAUUUAUGCUUUUUUAGCUCGCCCCCGCCACCAUCGCUCCAGCCGCCACUAGUACCUAGUCACCAAACCACCAACCCAACCGCUCAUCGCUCCCAACAAAACAGACGUUUCUCUGGUCGGUGUUUUUCUUUUGUUUUUAUUUUAUUUUAUUUUAUUUUCAAUCUCCUAUUUAUUUUUAUGUUUCGAUUUUUUUUCUUUUUUUGUUGUUGUUUAAUUUCCUUUUCUUUAUCGGUUGAUUCUUAGGUAUUUUUUAUCCGCUUUUCUGAUAUCCUUCAUGGUUGUAUACUUGUAUAUGGUGUCUAACUCAAAGCUUGGAUCAAAAUCGUGUCGAUGUUUGAAUCAAGAGGUACACCUAUAUUAAUUGCAGUAAUAGUGGUGCAUUGAUAUUUUGGUGACCUAAUGCGAGGUACUGAUGGCAUGGACUGAGGGCUCAUCAAGAGGCUUGCCGGAAAUACUUUAGAUGAGGUAGUUAUCAUUGUUGAGUUUUUUGUGUUUUUUUGGUUGUGUUUAUAGUUAAUAUUAGAAAAGGUUUCACCUAUGUUAGUUGAGAUUUUGCGAUUCAUAAAAUUCAUUUUCGUUUUAAAACAAUUUUAAUAAGUGAAAUUAAUUUUCUCUUUUCAAUUUGUAAUUAUACUUGUAGUUAAGAGCCGUCUUAACUCAAACUUGGGUCAUAAGUUUUAGGCCCCGUUUGGGAUUGCUUUUGGGAGGGUUAAAAGUGAUUUUAAAAAUCUAAAAGCUAAUUUUGGUGUUUGGUAAAAGAAAAUCAAAAUCACUUUUGCCAGAAUCAGCUCCUCCUACAGCUGAUUUUGAAAAGCAGGGCAAGAGUAACUUUUAGAUUCUGAUUUUGAGAAUCAAUUUUAUCCUUUAAUAUAAUUUCAUAAAUAUCCUUACAAUUAUUACUUAAACCCGAAAUUAUCCUUAGUUAAAUUAGAAAUAAAAUCAAUAUUUUAAUAAAUUUUUAUUAUAAUUAACGCACACCUUUCGUUUACCCUAUUUCUUCAUAUUUUGUGUUCUAUCAAAACUUCUCUAGUGCAAGUAAAUUUAUUUUCUUACAGCAUUUUUAUAUGUAUAAGUAAAUUUCAUCUUACAUUAUGUACAUUUUGGUCAUUUAUUUUCUUACAGCAGUUUAACAAUAAAAUUUACCAAACACCCAUAACUGCUUUCAAAAUUCACAGUACUUUUGAAAAUAAAAAUUACCAAACACUUAACUGAUUCUCUUCACAGCUGAUUAUUUCUACAGCACAGCUAACAGCAAUUAUUUUAAAAGCUGCAGCAUUACUAAACUGGCCCUUAUUCUAGUAUUAUAAUUAAAUUUAAUGUAGUCAUAUUUUUAUCAAUGUGACAUUAUAUUGUCUGCC